rnacentral:rRNA from 1 species
GACGCGACAACCGGUGCUCUGUGAUACGUUCUCAAUGAGUCGAGUUGUUUGGGAAUGCAGCUCUAAAUGGGUGGUAAAUUCCAUCUAAGGCUAAAUAUUGGCGAGAGACCGAUAGCGAACAAGUACCGUGAGGGAAAGAUGAAAAGCACUUUGGAAAGAGAGUUAAACAGUAUGUGAAAUUGUUAAAAGGGAAACGAUUGAAGUCAGUCGUGUGAAAGGUAUUCAGCCGUCUCUGGCGGUGUAUUUGCCUUUCACGGGUCAACAUCAGUUUGAUCCGGUAGAAAAAGGCAGGAGGAAGGUGGCACCCUCGGGUGUGUUAUAGCCUCUUGUCAUAUGUGCCGGACCAGACUGAGGAACGCAGCUUGCCGCAAGGCCGGGGUUCGCCCACGUACAAGCUUAGGAUGUUGACAUAAUGGCUUUAAACG